UUCCAAUCAACUACUUGUACGCUAAUGGCGUAAUGUAUAAUUGGAAUUGAAUUAUUUCUGGAUUUACAAAGAAAAACAGCAAGACUUGCCGCAGCCAAAAGUAUAUCAACCGCUUUUAUAGCUUCGCAAAAGAAAGAAUCAUCAUCCUGGACAAUCAAGAACCAAUGGAUCAGAUUUUUUUCACCAAAACAUUUUUGUAUGCAUUGAAAAAGAAGUCAAAGUUACUUCUAUGAAAGAAUUACGAAACUUCUUAAUUUCUGUUAUCGUAUUUUGUUGGAGAUAGUUCUUGAUCGAUAAAAAAAGAGGCUAUACGCGAAGCGUGUGACGUACAGUAUGAAGAAAAGAAUUGUGAAGCUGUGACAGAUGAAUGUCCAAAAAAUAAUCUUUUAUAGGACCAAAUCUUUCUGUAAUAAUUGGAGCAUUUAAACCCGCAAAAAUUGUCGGUAUUCCCAGAGGUUUGAAAAAACUUGUUUCCUCAAAAAUGAAGAGUCUACGGUACACAGAACUUAUAUAUUAUAUUAUAUAGAAAUCCUUGGAAUGCGCCACUUCUGAGUCUAUUAAAAGUCUUUACAAUCAAUUACUUACCAUACAUGGCAGUAGUGUAAUAUAAAUUUGAAUGGAAUUAUUUCAGGACUUAGAAAGAAGAAAGGUUGCUCAUUACUGUCUACACAAUAUAAUAAACCUCAAGCAAUACCCAAGGAAAGACUACUAUAUACUUUGUGUAUGUGUGCGUGGGUGUGUAUAUUAUGUAUCUAGUUAUGUACAUAUGUAUCUAUUUACAAACGUAUGUUUAUAUGGGAUCUUCCAACAUUCCACCUUGUUGGUUGCCGAAAGACUGAUCUCAUACGAUAUUCGACAGAAAGUAAAUAACAUAAGGUGUAUUUAGAUAUUUCACCUUAUAUAGAAACAUAUAAACAUUGUAAUAAUUUUUGCUUUGUAUAUGUCAGCUAGUAAAUGGUAUAAACAUUCUCUUUUUCUUUCAGUGUAAUAAUAUUAUAUAUAUAUAUAUAUAUAUAUAUAUAUAUAUAUAUAUAUAUUAAAAUUUUUAUAAUUUAAUUAGUUAAUUAAUCAAAAUCAAAAAAUAAAAGAAAGCAACAGGAAUAGAAAAAUACGAGACCUCAUCGAAAACUCCGUUUGUUAGAAAACAAUGUACUUUCAUCUCUCUCUCUCUCUCUCUCUCUCUUCCUCGCUCUGUUUUGCUAUUUUUUUCUUAAUUUUUCUGUAUGCACGUGUACGCGUAUGUACGUAAUACGUAUAUGCCUUUUAACAAAUGUAAUAUCGUUUGGUAUCGAUAUAUUUUAUAUAUAGAAAGAUCGUCGACGAUCGAACGUGAUGCGUGUACCUGAUCGUGACACCCUUAUUUCAAUAUUGUAAAUUUAAUUUGUCAACGAGGUAUAAACUCUAUAUUCAUUUAAAUACACAUACAUUGAUAUGUGUAUGAAUAAUGCAUAUUAAUCAUAAUACGAAUUAAAUGACACGUUUAAUUGAAAUCCCACAUUAAAAUUUACAUUGUACUAGAU